UACGAAGGGGCUAGCGUUGCUCGGAAUCACUGGGCGUAAAGCGCACGUAGGCGGAUUGUUAAGUCAGGGGUGAAAUCCUGGAGCUCAACUCCAGAACUGCCUUUGAUACUGGCGAUCUCGAGUCCGGGAGAGGUGAGUGGAACUCCGAGUGUAGAGGUGAAAUUCGUAGAUAUUCGGAAGAACACCAGUGGCGAAGGCGGCUCACUGGCCCGGUACUGACGCUGAGGUGCGAAAGCGUGGGGAGCAAACAGG
rnacentral:rRNA from 1 species